rnacentral:rRNA from 1 species
UGGGGAAUCUUGGACAAUGGGGGCAACCCUGAUCCAGCCAUGCCGCGUGAGUGAUGAAGGCCUUAGGGUCGUAAAGCUCUUUCGCCUGUGAAGAUAAUGACGGUAGCAGGUAAAGAAACCCCGGCUAACUCCGUGCCAGCAGCCGCGGUAAUACGGAGGGGGUUAGCGUUGUUCGGAAUUACUGGGCGUAAAGCGCACGUAGGCGGACCAGAAAGUUGGGGGUGAAAUCCCGGGGGCUCAACCCCGGAACUGCCUCCAAAACUAUUGGUCUAGAGUUCGAGAGAGGUGAGUGGAAUUCCAAGUGUAGAGGUGAAAUUCGUAGAUAUUUGGAGGAACACCAGUGGCGAAAGGCGGCUCACUGGCUCGAUACUGACGCUGAGGUGCGAAAAGUGUGGGGAGCAAAACAGGAUUAGAUACCCUGGUAGUCCACACCGUAAAACGAUGAAUGCCAGUCGUCGGGGUAGCAUGCUAUUCGGUGACACACCUAACGGAUU